rnacentral:ribozyme from 1 species
AAAGGUGAGUGCGGGUUUGUGUCGGUUUGUUUGUUUGUUUGGUCGGCUGUUGUUGUUUGGUUUUGAGAAGUGAGGGG